rnacentral:lncRNA from 1 species
GACUGACACACCCCAUGCCCUCAGAACUCCUCCAGUCCAGUGGGGAAGACAGAUUGUGCACACCCAGUAAAACUGGUCAUCAGGGAGCAUCAUAAGCACCAUGGCAGAUUUUAACUGGAAGAGGAAACUGAGGCCCAGACAGCUCCCACAGUUGACAAGACAUGCAUGUACAUCGUGAAGCCUGAAUUUGAACUCGGGCAAGUCAACACCAAGCUUGGAAGUACUCUUCUGUAUUCUUCUCUUACACCAUGAGUUCUUGUCACAGGAGGUGUUCAAGAUGACCUGGUUCGUAUGCAUCCUCAGAAGAGGAAAAUCAACAAGCUUAAGAGCAAAGAUACCUCAAAAGUGUACAUAUGGUUCAACGCUGUCAAUACCAAGAUAGAUAUACUACGUGCCUCUCAGUAUGACACAUUCCUACCCACAAGAAGAAAAAAAUUAAACAAAACAUAAAAUCCAUCUAGUCGAAGGGGAUAUCUGACUUUUUAAAAAGCCAGUGAAUUCCAGAAGACAAAAGAAAAUUCCUGAUAGUCAGUCCUUCAUGUUCAGCAAAGAACAACCAAGCCAUUUGGUACAAUGCUCCAGAAAAGCAGACAAUGAAGGAAAUGAAGGAAAAAUAGCGAGGCAGAAAGAUGAAUACAGCACUCAGCAUCUCCGUGUGGGAGAAAGGAAAGUCAUAAAACUGGAGUGAGAUCAUGAAAGGUUUGCGAAAUGUUCAGGGGCCACCUCAGGUAACCAUCAAAAGUUAUGUAUCUAAUAUGCCACCUCAUCCAAAUGUGUUUUGGGCAAUACUUUCUUCAUAGCAUGAUUUCAGGUAAGAAAUAAACAUUGUGGAUGAAGCCACAGGACAUGUAGGAAGUUUUGAGAUAAAAAUAUUUGCAUCUCCGGUCUUGUCAUGACGGACAGUAACAUAUAGUGGUAAGAACUGAAAACCUGCAGUAAACAAAGCUCGGUUUCUGAUUUUUCCCUGAGUUUGAUAUUGGGGCAUUUACAGACCCCUUGGAACCUCAGGAUGUUCUUCUGCCAAGUGGCUGGACUACCUGUGCUACCGGAUCCCCGUAAGGAUUAAAUGAAAUACUGCAUAUCUGAUGCUUCACGAAAUGCUUGCAUAUAAUUCUGAUAAAUAUUCUUAACUUUUAAUAGGUAAAGCCUCAUGUUUUGGGUCCAGAUCUAGUAGAAGCAUAUUCUAGCAUUUAUUGAGCAUUAAGUUACAGAGCAUUUGCUAAGUUCUAGGCACUCCCCUAAACUGUUUUUAUAAAAUUUUCCUUUUUUUAAGAGUAGUUUUGGGUUCACAGCAAAAUAAAGAGAAAAUUAUAGAGAUUUCCCACACACCUCCUCAGACACGGGUAGCCUUCCCUAAACGUUUUCUGUAAUAUUUUUUUCAUUUGAAAAUCUUCACAACAUGGAGUUAAUUUUACUCACAUCUCCGGAAACUAGAUCUCAUAAUGUUCCAAGUUACCCUAAAAUGCUUCAAUCUUUCACAAAAAUCAGAAAAGCAUCAUUUUCAUAAAGGUACUUAUUUCAAUGAGACCUGCAUCGCUUAAUAAGAAAGCAGUCUUUAAUCCUAAUAAGGCAAAAUCCUAUCUAGGCAAUUGGAAAAACAAACAAACAAACAAACAAAAGCCCACUUAAUUUCUAGCCAUAGUCUACAUUCUUUGGCAUGUGACACCCAUC